rnacentral:tRNA from 1 species
GCCCAUAUAGCUCAGUCGGUAGAGCACUUCCUUGGUAAGGAAGAGGUCACCAGUUCAAAUCUGGUUAUGGGCU